CAUAGCGACUAUCGUGGCCAUAUCAAUAAGCGGAGGAAAAGAAACUAACAAGGAUUCCCUUAGUAACGGCGAGUGAAGCGGGAAGAGCUCAAAUUUGAAAUCUCCAAGGUUUUACCUUGACGAAUUGUAGUUUAAAGAAGUGUUUUCUGUUGGAGUUUUGGUAAAAGUUCUUUGGAAUAGGACAUCAUAGAGGGUGAGAAUCCCGUAUUUGACCAUUAUUUCCAGCUGUGUGAUACACUUUCAAAGAGUCGGAUUGUUUGGGAGUGCAGUCCAAAAUGGGUGGUAAAUUUCAUCUAAAGCUAAAUAUUGGCGAGAGACCGAUAGCGAACAAGUACCGUGAGGGAAAGAUGAAAAGAACUUUGAAAAGAGAGUUAAACAGUACGUGAAAUUGUCAAAAGGGAAGCGUUUGACACCAGUGUUGUUUUCUCGAAAAUCAAUUAAAAAUGUUGGGAUUUUGUGUUGUAUUGACUUUAUCAGCUUUCUGCGCUUUUUUCUUAUCUUUUUUAAUGCACUUUUCGUUUAACAAGUCAACAUCAAUUUCUUUUGCUGUAAAAGGAGUCAUUGGAAGGUGGCUUUCUUUUCGGAGAAAGUGUUUAUAGCCUUUGGACUUCUGCAAUCGGAGAGAUUGAGGUCUGCAGCGUAGAUCCUUCGGGGUUAGAUACAUUUGUGCUAAGCUAUAGCCUUUCAUAGACAGCUUGUUGACUAUGAUCAGUCAUGUAGCUUACUCGCUUAUGCUAUUUUACCUACGCUUAGGAUGUUGACGCGCGUGUGUGCGUG
rnacentral:rRNA from 1 species